rnacentral:lncRNA from 1 species
AAGCUGCCCCAGAGCUCACCAUCUUGCACAAACACUUACGCAUUUGUUCCUUCCCUUCUCAGAUUCCUCUGUCUGGUUGGUAUUGGCAGCUGGAUUAUCAAGAUGUCUUGAGAAAGUACUUCUGCAAGUAUUUUUCAUGUAAUCAAAGCCGUUAGCACUGAAAUAUCUUCCUCAGAAAGGAUUCUCCUGUGCUGGUCUCAGGAUCGUACUUCAAAAACAAGAACAGAGCUACUUCAUGCAUAUACUGCACACCUAUCCUAAAGUCACAUGGGCCAUGGCACAGUGGUGGGUAUAAUUCUAUGUUUGUCCAAAUUACAGCAUCUCAUCUUUUGUUCUCAGUUGGUUGGGAUCAACAGCUCCUCUCUCAGAAUUUAUUAAUUGCCCCUCCUGUAAGGCUGUAGCCUUUGCACUCAGGCUUCAUCAUCUCUUUUUGUGAAAUGCUUGGGUAGACAGGAGAGUGAGUGGUGAGGAAGAGAGGAAAUGAGAUGUGUAGCUGUUGUCUUGUGUAAAGCAAACUGACACACAGACUUUGGGAUUUUAGUUUGGUUCUAGCCUAAAACAUUAUCAUGCCCAAAACAGAGAUAUAAAAUCUUUUUCCAAGCAAAUUUUUAUGCUGUCCUAUGAAUUCAUCUAAGUGUUAGGCUUUACAUGGACAGUUAGAUUUGUGUUCUAACAGGGAACAGAAAUCCUAUAAAGGGAACAGAAAAGAAUAAUUAGUGAGAAGAGCUGGGUUACUUCAAAGCCAGAUUAAGUCAAAACUAUGAGCAAGGGGUAGCUUAUGCUUCCCUAUGGAAGGAGAUUUUGGAUGAAGCGAACCAGCACCUUGAUUAGGGUGACAGCUUAGUGUAACCCACUGGUGAACUGAAGAUAGAAAUAGAGCAAAAGAGGUUUGUGUUUUCCCAAAAUAAUAAACAUAUGUGGAUAAAUUAUGUGUAACCUUAG